rnacentral:lncRNA from 1 species
CCCAAUUCUGGGCCGUAGGAGCCUAGAAAUAGGGCGCCCGCCCCAAGCCGUUUCGCCCCGUUUCGGUUUGGCAACGGUUUGCGUCCUUCCAGGGGGCUCCGCGUAGAGGGCGGAGUAAAGCUGAUCCCUCGCUUCGCCUCUGAGGGCCUUUCUCUUGCCUUUCCCCAAAUCCCCCUGCCUUCCCCGAGGCUCGAGAAAUCAGGGCCCUACGCUGAGCUUUCACUUGUGUGGCGCUAGCUGUGUCAGUCCCAUACGAACGACAGCGCGUUUUGAUUAGACGUAGCAGAAGCUACCUGAGCACAACGCUUUUUUGUAUAUUUUUAUGUUCAGGUUGCAUAUAAAUACUGGCUGUUGUGUUUUUUUUCUGCUUUGAAUUUUACAGACUAGUGGGAACAAUAAGAAAUUUUUAAAAAAUCAGAAUGUGCAUAAUGUUUGACUGUUUUUUUUUUUUAACUUUAAUGAUGUCCAGAUAUUGAGAAUGAUAAGAAGACCUGGCAUUAUCUAGUAGGAUGAGGAGGCUACCCAAAGAAAGAUGGAGUAAUCCAGUGCAACGCCGCUGUAAUGCAAGGACUUCCUGUCAGUUUGGAGCAGUAGCAGCCUUACCUGGGAAAUGUUGGAACUCCACUUGCUGUUGUUCUUGAAGUGCUGGAGAGAUCUAUCCACGGUUUCCUAAUAGGAGAUGGUGCUGUGACUUUUGUGAGAGAAUAAGGCUUCGUGAUAGAAGAUAAUAAAAGCAGGAUGACUAAGCAGAGUGCUGAAGCUUAUCAGGAAUACUUAGAAAAGCAGAAAAAUUCCAGAGGACAUGACACCUCAGGUAUAAGUGCUUUGGAUGGCCAUGGAAAGACAACUGUUAAGAUGGAUCAAACAUAUUGCACAGUUGAUCUACUUCCUAUCUUCUUUCUUCUUGUGGCUAAUGAAAUCGGAACGGUUAGAGAAGGUGCUUCCCCCAAGCAUGGUGGUUUCCAGCACUGGCAAGUGUCAAAUCAAAAAGAUGAGCUGAAGAGGAGCUCAUUGUUCUUCCAGUUCUCUUCUCCAGAGAUGGUGAAAAGCUGUCACACCUUCUUCUUUAUAGGGGUCCUUAAGUCAUCAGGUAAAGAAUCACUGGAACAGGGCACCACACAGCCAAUUGCCUCAUCUCAUAUGUCUGAAGCAUCAGCUUUGCAGAGAACUGCAAAGGAGCUAUGUUGCUGA